rnacentral:rRNA from 1 species
GACGAACGCUGGCGGCGUGCCUAAUACAUGCAAGUCGAGCGGACUUAAAAAGCUUGCUUUUUAAGUUAGCGGCGGACGGGUGAGUAACACGUGGGCAAACUGCCUGUAAGACUGGGAUAACUUCGGGAAACCGGAGCUAAUACCGGAUAAUCCUGUUCUACUCAUGUAGAAAAGCUGAAAGACGGUUUACGCUGUCACUUACAGAUGGGCCCGCGGCGCAUUAGCUAGUUGGUGAGGUAACGGCUCACCAAGGCGACGAUGCGUAGCCGACCUGAGAGGGCGAUCGCCCACACUGGGACUGAGACACGGCCCAGACUCCUACGGGAGGCAGCAGUAGGGAAUCUUCCGCAAAGGACGAAAGUCUGACGGAGCACCGCCGCGUGAGUGAUGAAGGUUUUCGGAUCGUAAAACUCUGUUGUUAGGGAAGAACAAGUACGAGAGUAACUGCUCGUACCUUGACGGUACCUAACCAGAAAGCCACGGCUAACUACGUG